CCAAUAUUUGACCAUAAUCAUCAUCUUCCCAUCUAGGGGUAAGCUAAUCUGAGACUGGAAAGGUGUACAACAGGCCUCAAACAUCUAGAGCCACACACAUGUUAUUGGAUUCAGAGAGACUGAGCAUGGGUAGGUUGGCUAUUAGUACACCCAUUGUACAGCUGAGGAAACUGAGGCCCUCAGAAGGUAACUAUCAAACCAAUGCAGUCAACACUGUGGUGGCAGGACACAAACAUAGGUGUUCUGAUUCUAAAUUCUAUGCAUCCCUCCUCUCACCCUAGACCACACAUUCAGAACCAGGGUAUAGUCUUCAAAAGGCAUGGGAAAGAUGAAGAGGAGACAGGUCUGGGGAAAAGGAAUCGCCAGAAGGUCUCCAGUAUAUUCAAUACUUAUGGGGUUCAUUUCAUUAAGAGUCUGAUUCUGAAGAUAAAAAGGAACAAAUGGAUAAUCUUUAAACAUCUCCCUCACAAAUACAUGAUUUGUCUCCUCUUCAGAGAGCUAGGAUUUUUUCAAACUGGAGGAGUAGGAUGGUGCGUGGAGGUGCUUAAAGACAAGAAGAAAGAGAAUCAAUAUUAUCUUUCUGUAACCAUAAACACAAAGUAGCCCAGAGAAAAGGCACCGACUCCUGAAGGCUCCAUAAACCCUCUAGAGCUUAAAGGGGAACACAAAAGAAGAAGCCGUCACUUCAAGAAGACCCUGAGACAUCUGUGAGUGUUUUCCCAGAGAGCAAGAUUUUCCUCAGGCCAGCAAGACAAUCAGCCUCAAACAUUUACCUUUGUGUUGUGUAAAAGGGUCCCUUGAUCAUGAAGACGCAGAGUUGGGGUUCACCAGCAUGUCUUGCUGAGUGCUGAAAACAAAUAAAACAUGAUAUUAAAAAAAUAAACAUUAAUUAUUU
rnacentral:lncRNA from 1 species